AUUGAACGCUGGCGGCAGGCCUAACACAUGCAAGUCGAGCGGAUGAAGGGAGCUUGCUCCUGGAUUCAGCGGCGGACGGGUGAGUAAUGCCUAGGAAUCUGCCUGGUAGUGGGGGAUAACGUCCGGAAACGGGCGCUAAUACCGCGUACGUCCUGAGGGAGAAAGUGGGGGAUCUUCGGACCUCACGCCAUCAGAUGAGCCUAGGUCGGAUUAGCUAGUUGGUGGGGUAAAGGCCUACCAAGGCGACGAUCCGUAACUGGUCUGAGAGGAUGAUCAGUCACACGGGAACUGAGACACGGUCCAGACUCCGACGGGAGGCAGCAGUGGGGAAUAUUGGACGAUGGGCGAAAGCCUGAUCCAGGCAUGCCGCGUGUGGCAAGAAGGUCUUCGGAUUGUAAAGCACUGUAAGUUGGGAGGAAGGGAAGUAAGUUAAUACCUGGCUGUAUUGACGGUACCAACAGAAUAAGCACCGGCUAACUUCGUG
rnacentral:rRNA from 1 species